rnacentral:rRNA from 1 species
AUUGAACGCUGGCGGCAUGCCUUACACAUGCAAGUCGAACGGAUCCUUCGGGAUUAGUGGCGGACGGGUGAGUAACGCGUGGGAACAUACCCUUUGGUACGGAAUAGCCUCGGGAAACUGGGAGUAAUACCGUAUGUGGUCGAGAGACGAAAGAUUUAUCGCCAAAGGAUUGGCCCGCGUUGGAUUAGGUAGUUGGUGGGGUAAUGGCCUACCAAGCCGACGAUCCAUAGCUGGUUUGAGAGGAUGAUCAGCCACACUGGGACUGAGACACGGCCCAGACUCCUACGGGAGGCAGCAGUGGGGAAUCUUAGACAAUGGGGGAAACCCUGAUCUAGCCAUGCCGCGUGAUCGAUGAAGGCCUUAGGGUCGUAAAGAUCUUUCAGGUGGGAAGAUAAUGACUGUACCACCAGAAGAAGCCCCGGCUAACUCCGUGCCAGCAGCCGCAGUAA